GGGUUGUGAGGUUAAGCGACUAAGCGUACACGGUGGAUGCCCUGGCAGUCAGAGGCGAUGAAGGACGUGCUAAUCUGCGAAAAGCGUCGGUAAGGUGAUAUGAACCGUUAUAGCCGGCGAUGUCCGAAUGGGGAAACCCAGUGCAAUUCGUUGCACUAUCGUUAACUGAAUACAUAGGUUAACGAGGCGAACCGGGGGAACUGAAACAUCUAAGUACCCCGAGGAAAAGAAAUCAACCGAGAUUCCCCCAGUAGCGGCGAGCGAACGGGGAGCAGCCCAGAGUCUGAAUCAGCUUGUGUGUUAGUGGAACGGUCUGGAAAGUCCGACGGUACAGGGUGAUAGUCCCGUACACCAAAAUGCACAGGCUGUGAACUCGAAGAGUAGGGCGGGACACGUGGUAUCCUGUCUGAAUAUGGGGACCAUCCUCCAAGGCUAAAUACUCCUGACUGACCGAUAGUGAACCAGUACCGUGAGGGAAAGGCGAAAAGAACCCCGGCGAGGGAGUGAAAAGAACCUGAAACCGUGUACGUACAAGCAGUGGGAGCACCUUCGGGUGUGACUGCGUACCUUUGUAUAAUGGGUCAGCGACUUAUAUUCUGUAGCAAGGUUAACCGUAUAGGGGAGCCGCAGGGAAACCGAGUCUUAACUGGGCGUUAAGUUGCAGGGUAUAGACCCGAAACCCGGUGAUCUAGCCAUGGGCAGGUUGAAGGUUGGGUAACACUAACUGGAGGACCGAACCGACUAAUGUUGAAAAAUUAGCGGAUGACUUGUGGCUGGGGUGAAAGGCCAAUCAAACCGGGAGAUAGCUGGUUCUCCCGAAAGCUAUUUAGGUAGCGCCUCGUGAACUCAUCUUCGGGGUAGAGCACUGUUUCGGCUAGGGGUCAUCCCGACUUACCAACCCGAUGCAAACUACGAAUACCGAAGAAUGUUAUCACGGGAGACACACGGCGGGUGCUAACGUCCGUCGUGAAGAGGGAAACAACCCAGACCGCCAGCUAAGGUCCCAAAGUCAUGGUUAAGUGGGAAACGAUGUGGGAAGGCACAGACAGCCAGGAUGUUGGCUUAGAAGCAGCCAUCAUUUAAAGAAAGCGUAAUAGCUCACUGGUCGAGUCGGCCUGCGCGGAAGAUGUAACGGGGCUAAACCAUGCACCGAAGCUGCGGCAGCGACACUAUGUGUUGUUGGGUAGGGGAGCGUUCUGUAAGCCUGCGAAGGUGUGCUGUGAGGCAUGCUGGAGGUAUCAGAAGUGCGAAUGCUGACAUAAGUAACGAUAAAGCGGGUGAAAAGCCCGCUCGCCGGAAGACCAAGGGUUCCUGUCCAACGUUAAUCGGGGCAGGGUGAGUCGACCCCCUAAGGCGAGGCCGAAAGGCGUAGUCGAUGGGAAACAGGUUAAUAUUCCUGUACUUGGUGUUACUGCGAAGGGGGGACGGAGAAGGCUAUGUUAGCCGGGCGACGGUUGUCCCGGUUUAAGCAUGUAGGCUGGUUAUCCAGGCAAAUCCGGAUAAUCAAGGCUGAGGUGUGAUGACGAGGCACUACGGUGCUGAAGUAACAAAUGCCCUGCUUCCAGGAAAAGCCUCUAAGCAUCAGGUAACAUCAAAUCGUACCCCAAACCGACACAGGUGGUCAGGUAGAGAAUACCAAGGCGCUUGAGAGAACUCGGGUGAAGGAACUAGGCAAAAUGGUGCCGUAACUUCGGGAGAAGGCACGCUGGUGUGUAGGUGAAGCCCCUGCGGGUGGAGCUGAGACCAGUCGAAGAUACCAGCUGGCUGCAACUGUUUAUUAAAAACACAGCACUGUGCAAACACGAAAGUGGACGUAUACGGUGUGACGCCUGCCCGGUGCCGGAAGGUUAAUUGAUGGGGUUAUCCGUAAGGAGAAGCUCUUGAUCGAAGCCCCGGUAAACGGCGGCCGUAACUAUAACGGUCCUAAGGUAGCGAAAUUCCUUGUCGGGUAAGUUCCGACCUGCACGAAUGGCGUAAUGAUGGCCAGGCUGUCUCCACCCGAGACUCAGUGAAAUUGAACUCGCUGUGAAGAUGCAGUGUACCCGCGGCAAGACGGAAAGACCCCGUGAACCUUUACUAUAGCUUGACACUGAACAUUGAGCCUUGAUGUGUAGGAUAGGUGGGAGGCUUUGAAGCGUGGACGCCAGUCUGCGUGGAGCCAACCUUGAAAUACCACCCUUUAAUGUUUGAUGUUCUAACGUUGGCCCCUUAUCGGGGUUGCGGACAGUGUCUGGUGGGUAGUUUGACUGGGGCGGUCUCCUCCCAAAGCGUAACGGAGGAGCACGAAGGUUAGCUAAUCCUGGUCGGACAUCAGGAGGUUAGUGCAAUGGCAUAAGCUAGCUUGACUGCGAGCGUGACGGCGCGAGCAGGUGCGAAAGCAGGUCAUAGUGAUCCGGUGGUUCUGAAUGGAAGGGCCAUCGCUCAACGGAUAAAAGGUACUCCGGGGAUAACAGGCUGAUACCGCCCAAGAGUUCAUAUCGACGGCGGUGUUUGGCACCUCGAUGUCGGCUCAUCACAUCCCGGGCUGAAGUAGGUCCCAAGGGUAUGGCUGUUCGCCAUUUAAAGUGGUACGCGAGCUGGGUUUAGAACGUCGUGAGACAGUUCGGUCCCUAUCUGCCGUGGGCGCUGGAGAAUUGAGGGGGGCUGCUCCUAGUACGAGAGGACCGGAGUGGACGCAUCACUGGUGUUCGGGUUGUCAUGCCAAUGGCACUGCCCGGUAGCUAAAUGCGGAAGAGAUAAGUGCUGAAAGCAUCUAAGCACGAAACUUGCCCCGAGAUGAGUUCUCCCUGAGACUUUAAGUCUCCUGAAGGAACGUUAAAGACGAUGACGUUGAUAGGCCGGGUGUGUAAGCGCAGCGAUGCGUUGAGCUAACCGGUACUAAUGAACCGUGAGGCUUAACCUUACAACGCCGAAG
rnacentral:rRNA from 1 species